rnacentral:rRNA from 1 species
UACGAACCGUACAAACGUUAUUCGGAAUCACUGGGCUUAAAGGGUGCGUAGGCGGCCACGUAAGUGAGAUGUGAAAUCCCUCGGCUCAACCGAGGAAGUGCAUUUCAUACUGCAUGGCUUGAGGGAGACAGGGGUAAGCGGAACUGAUGGUGGAGCGGUGAAAUGCGUUGAUAUCAUCAGGAACACCGGUGGCGAAAGCGGCUUACUGGGUCUCUUCUGACGCUGAGGUACGAAAGCUAGGGUAGCGAAC